rfam:Capsicum annuum cultivar Zunla-1 chromosome 7, whole genome shotgun sequence
UAUUGAUGGUGUGGACAGUCCUAUAGAAAAUCCUUGAAAUACUCCCAAGCAUGAUAUAAAUUCUCGUCUGGCUUCUAUUUGAAGAACACGAUCUCACUACGAAGUCU